AGUGAACGCUGGCGGUAGGCCUAACACAUGCAAGUCGAACGGCAGCACAGUAAGAGCUUGCUCUUACGGGUGGCGAGUGGCGGACGGGUGAGGAAUACAUCGGAAUCUACUUUUUCGUGGGGGAUAACGUAGGGAAACUUACGCUAAUACCGCAUACGACCUACGGGUGAAAGAAGGGGAUCUUCGGCCCUGGCGCGAUUGAAUAAGCCGAUGUCGGAUUAGCUAGUUGGCGGGGUAAAGGCCCACCAAGGCGACGAUCCGUAGCUGGUCUGAGAGGAUGAUCAGCCACACUGGAACUGAGACACGGUCCAGACUCCUACGGGAGGCAGCAGUGGGGAAUAUUGGACAAUGGGCGCAAGCCUGAUCCAGCCAUACCGCGUGGGUGAAGAAGGCCUUCGGGUUGUAAAGCCCUUUUGUUGGGAAAGAAAAGCAGCAGGUUAAUACCCCGCUGUUCUGACGGUACCCAAAGAAUAAGCACCGGCUAACUUCGUG
rnacentral:rRNA from 1 species